rnacentral:rRNA from 1 species
AGAGUUUGAUCCUGGCUCAGGACGAACGCUGGCGGCGUGCCUAAUACAUGCAAGUCGAGCGAAUAGAUGGGAGCUUGCUCCCUUAUCUUAGCGGCGGACGGGUGAGUAACACGUGGGCAACCUGCCCUGCAGAUCGGGAUAACUCCGGGAAACCGGGGCUAAUACCGAAUAAUUUGCUGCCUCACAUGAGGAUGUGUUGAAAGACGGUUUCUGCUGUCACUGUACGAUGGGACCCCCGGCCCUUUACUUGUUGGGGAAGGAACGGGUCCCCCAGGGCCCCAAGCGUAACCCAACUGAAAAGGGGAUUCGCCACCCUGGGACUGAAACCCCGCCCAAACUCCUACGGGAAGCAGCCAUAAGGAAUCUUUCCCAAUGGAACAAAGUCUGACCGAACCAACGCGCCUGAAUGAAGAAGGGUUUUCGAUCCUUAAACUCUGGUGGGAGGGAAGAACCAAUACCCACUAACUACUGGUACCUUGACCGUACCUCAACCAAAAACCACGGCUAACUACCUGCCAACAGCCGCGCGUAAUUACGUAGUGUGGCAGCGUUGUCCGGAAUUAUUGGGCGUUAAGCGCGCGCGCAGCGCGGCCCUUAAAUCUCGAUGUGAAAGCCCCCCGCUCUCACCGUGGGAAGGGCAUUUGGAACUGGGGGACUUGAGAUGUGCGAAAAGAAAGUGGAAUUCCCCCUGUAGCCGUGAAAUGCGUAAUAAUGUGGGAGGACACCCAUUGGCAACUUUCUUGGUCUGACUGACAGCUUAAGGCGCCAAGGGGGGAGCAAACAGGAUUAGAUACCCUGGUAGUCCACGCCGUAAACGAUGAGUGCUAAGUGUUAGGGGGUUUCCGCCCUUUAGUGCUGCAGCUAACGCAUUAAGCACUCCGCCUGGGGAGUACGGCCGCAAGGCUGAAACUCAAAGGAAUUGACGGGGGCCCGCACAAGCGGUGGAGCAUGUGGUUUAAUUCGAAGCAACGCGAAGAACCUUACCAGGUCUUGACAUCCCGCUGACCGCCUAGGAGACUAGGCUUUCCCUUCGGGGACAGCGGUGACAGGUGGUGCAUGGUUGUCGUCAGCUCGUGUCGUGAGAUGUUGGGUUAAGUCCCGCAACGAGCGCAACCCUUGAUCUUAGUUGCCAGCAUUCAGUUGGGCACUCUAAGGUGACUGCCGGUGACAAACCGGAGGAAGGUGGGGAUGACGUCAAAUCAUCAUGCCCCUUAUGACCUGGGCUACACACGUGCUACAAUGGACGGUACAAAGGGCUGCAAACCCGCGAGGGGGAGCCAAUCCCAGAAAACCGUUCUCAGUUCGGAUUGCAGGCUGCAACUCGCCUGCAUGAAGCCGGAAUCGCUAGUAAUCGCGGAUCAGCAUGCCGCGGUGAAUACGUUCCCGGGCCUUGUACACACCGCCCGUCACACCACGAGAGUUUGUAACACCCGAAGUCGGUGGGGUAACCCUUACGGGAGCCAGCCGCCGAAGGUGGGACAGAUGAUUGGGGUGAAGUCGUAACAAGGUAGCCGU